rnacentral:rRNA from 1 species
GAAGCGGCAACAGCUCAAAUUUGAAAGCUAGCCUUCGGGUUCGCAUUGUAAUUUGUAGAGGAUGAUUUGGGGAAGCCGCCUGUCUAAGUUCCUUGGAACAGGACGUCAUAGAGGGUGAGAAUCCCGUAUGUGACAGGAAAUGGCACCCUAUGUAAAUCUCCUUCGACGAGUCGAGUUGUUUGGGAAUGCAGCUCUAAAUGGGAGGUAAAUUUCUUCUAAAGCUAAAUAUUGGCGAGAGACCGAUAGCGCACAAGUAGAGUGAUCGAAAGAUGAAAAGCACUUUGGAAAGAGAGUUAAAAAGCACGUGAAAUUGUUGAAAGGGAAGCGCUUGCAAUCAGACUUGUUUAAACUGUUCGGCCGGUCUUCUGACCGGUUUACUCAGUUUGGACAGGCCAGCAUCAGUUUCGGCGGCCGGAUAAAGGCUCUGGGAAUGUGGCCUCCACUUCGGUGGAGGUGUUAUAGCCCAGGGUGUAAUACGGCCAGCCGGGACUGAGGUCCGCGCUUCGGCUAGGAUGCUGGCGUAAUGGUUGUAAGCGACCCGUCUUGAA